rnacentral:other from 3 species
UUCCCCCUGGGGAGUGCGUGAUUGGGACUUCAUAUUUCAGAACCGAUGUUUUACAAAUGGGUAUUUUCCCUCACUGUGGUGUGCGAGCUCUUUCUCAUUCGUGAGAAGAGAUGCCUAAAGCAGUUGAUAUCCUUACCCACCUGAACUUUCGGGUUCAGAAAUUUACCACCCACACGGCUUUUUCGGGGGGUUA